rnacentral:lncRNA from 1 species
AUUCUCAGAUGUAUCUUGCACUGAUGUAUCCCUCUCAAAUGAUGCACCAUUGGAGUAGGAAGGCUGCGGAAAAUCCAGCAGCAACCCCCCAAUGUCUGAUGAGUAUACUAUAAUCCUAUCACAAUCGAAAAAUAAUGCAAAGUCAGAUCAGCUACCAGGCUUCUUUAAAAAGAGAACCAAGCAACCCUCUCUCCCAUCC